AGGACGAACGCUGGCGGCGUGCUUAACACAUGCAAGUCACGGGGGCCCGCAAGGGCAACCGGCGAACGGGUGCGUAACACGUGAGCAACUUGCCUUUGUGUGGGGGAUAGCCGGGCUAACGCCCGGGUAAUACCGCAUACGGUCACCGAGAGGAGUCUCUUGGUGAAGAAACCUCCGGGGCACGAAGAGGGGCUCGCGGCCUAUCAGCUAGUUGGUGAGGUAAUGGCUCACCAAGCCGACGACGGGUAGCCGGCCUGAGAGGGUGACCGGCCACACUGGGAUUGAGAACGGCCCAGACUCCUACGGGGGGCAGCAGUGAGGAAUUUCGUCAAUGGGGGCAACCCUGAACGAGCAACGCCGCGUGCAGGAAGAAGGUUUUCGGAUCGUAAACUGCUUUUCUCGGGGAAGAGAACGGACGGUACCCGAGGAAUCAGCCCCGGCUAACUACGUGCCAGCAGCCGC
rnacentral:rRNA from 1 species